UUAAUUGAAGCCAAAAAGAGGCAAAUCAUUGUUAAUGAUUAAAUUGAGAAUACUCCAAUUGUU
rnacentral:tRNA from 1 species